GGUCCUAAACUUGCCGCUGUUUUUAAUUAAAAUUACACAUGCUAGCAUCCGCACACCAGUGAAUACGCCCUAAAGUAGUAACGGAGCAGGUAUCAGGCACGCCCUUCAGCCCAAAACACCUAGCCACGCCACACCCCCACGGGAACUCAGCAGUGAUAGACAUUAGGCCAUGAGUAAACACCUAAUAAAGCUCGACCUAGUUAUAAUUAAACAGGGCCGGCCAAUCUCGUGCCAGCCGCCGCGGUUAUACGAGAGGCCCAAACCAGCACCCAACGGCGUAAAUUGUGACUAGAAUGACAAGCUAUCUCCAUAAAGGAAAAAACCAAAACCUAGCCGUAAAACCCAGGUAAAAUGAAUCUCCCUUACCCACAGCAAUUUGAACUCACGAAAGCUAAGAAACAAACUAGGAUUAGAUACCCUACUAUGCUUAGACAUAAACAAGACCUUAUCCAACGAAAGGUCCGCCCGAGAACUACAAGCGAAAAGCUUGAAACUCAAAAGACUUGGCGGUGCCCCACACCCGACUUAGAGGAGCCUGUCCUAUAAUCGAUAAUCCACGAUAAACCCAACCACCCUUUGCCCCACCAGCCUAUAUACCGCCGUCGCAAACCUACCUCACAAGAGAAAAGGCGUAGGUUAAACAGUUCAACACUAAAACGUCAGGUCAAGGUGUAGCUAAUAGGGCGGAAGAGAUGGGCUACAUUCUUUAAAGCUAAAGAACACGAAAAGAACUAUGAAACACCCUCCAAAAGGCGAAUUUAACAGUAAAACUGGCAAGAAAGCCAGCUUUAACCUCGCUCUGGGGCGCGCACACACCGCCCGUCACCCUCCU
rnacentral:ncRNA from 1 species